rnacentral:tRNA from 1 species
ACCUGGCUGGCUCAGUCAGUAGAGCAUGUGACUCUUGAUCUCGGGGUCAUGAGUUCAAGCCCCAUGCUGGGUG